rnacentral:rRNA from 1 species
GACGAACGCUGACGGCGUGCCUAAUACAUGCAAGUAGAACGCUGAAGAGAGGAGCUUGCUCUUCUUGGAUGAGUUGCGAACGGGUGAGUAACGCGUAGGUAACCUGCCUUGUAGCGGGGGAUAACUAUUGGAAACGAUAGCUAAUACCGCAUAACAAUGGAUGACACAUGUCAUUUAUUUGAAAGGGGCAAUUGCUCCACUACAAGAUGGACCUGCGUUGUAUUAGCUAGUAGGUGAGGUAACGGCUCACCUAGGCGACGAUACAUAGCCGACCUGAGAGGGUGAUCGGCCACACUGGGACUGAGACACGGCCCAGACUCCUACGGGAGGCAGCAGUAGGGAAUCUUCGGCAAUGGGGGCAACCCUGACCGAGCAACGCCGCGUGAGUGAAGAAGGUUUUCGGAUCGUAAAGCUCUGUUGUAAGUCAAGAACGAGUGUGAGAGUGGAAAGUUCACACUGUGACGGUAGCUUACCAGAAAGGGACGGCUAACUACGUG